AUUAUAAUUGCGUUUCGAAUUUCUUUCUUGGAAGUUUUUAGGGAAACGCAUUGGAAAAUAUAAUUAUAUUCUUUUACACAAUUGCAUGAUAUCAAUUAAAACUUUUGAAUUUUAGGCGUAUUAUAAGUUUUAAUAACCAAGCGAUUGAAGAAUAGUAAUUAUAAAAUACAGCAAUGAAUUAAAAUUUUCAAUGGAUGGAGUUCUAUAAAUUAAAACACUCAAAGCCUAUCGACAAGGUUGCAACCAAACUAACAGGAAUUAGGAAUGUAUAUUACAAUGUUAUGGUUAAAAAUUGUUGAACAAUUUUAACAAUCAUCAUUAUUACAAACGAUGAAAACACGUGUGCGUCAUUGGAUAAGAGAUAAAACUACUAGGAAUAUGACACUUAUAGAAAAUGGACUAACUAAAUUCACAGGCCGCUUUAUCUUCUGAUCCUAUUGUGAAAAGAGUGGGGAUUAAGCAGGAUGAACGUUACAUAAAAUAACAGAUCUAAAAAUAGAUACAUGGGCACAGAAUUAUGUUAUUUGCCUACUAUCACUUGAACAACUGUAUAUUUUUAGGAGUGGAUGCGCAGUUGCUGAUUAUUUGCUGUCUAGCGUUUGGUAAACAAUUGCAAUGAAUAGGUAUAACUUAAUACGCAUUUUUUUAAUUGGUUUAAAAACCAUAAUCGAAAAUGUUUGUAAUAAAUUACGUACAUAUAUAAUUAUAAGUGUUAUUUGUAUAGUAAACUUUUGUUUUGUCCAUUUAUCAGCUGCCGAAACUUGGGUCAUUAGAUAAACACAUUACUUCAUUGGUUCGAUAAUGGCGCCAUUAGAAAAAAAAAUGUAAAAACUUGUAUUACUACAUUAGUUAUUUGUGUUAAUGAAGAGCAUCGACGAUAAAAUUUUUAUUAAUAGGUUAAAUCGAAACGUCAGCUUUAAUUGAAGAAUUAUAAGUUGCACAAUCUCUUCUGAUAAGAGCGAUAUUCAAUUGUAACGCAAUGACGAAUACUUUUUUAUUUUGAUCUUUUAUCAGUUAUAUAUUAUGAUCACUCAUAUAAAUAGAGACUGACAGAAGAUAAAAAAUAAUAGAUGAAAAAUAGCACAUAAUAUUUGAGUAUGUUUAUAUACUUUAUAAAAAAGAAGGCCAUUGUUUGUAUGACAUAUUUUCAAUCACUUUGAUUUUUAAGCUAAUCAAAUACACAACACUUCCUACUAUCUAGAUAGUGCAGUGAAGUUAAGAUUGUUCAUAUUUAUAUAAAAUAAUGAUAACAACACAUUUAUAAAGCCUGGCCUUGAGUCUUAAAAUUUUUAAUUAUCGUAUUACACAGUAAAUAAAAUAAUCGUAUCAAUUAAAACUGCUUUCAAUAAUGGCUACAUUAAGUUAUGAUAUUGCAGGAGUUUGAUGGAUAAGAUUUAUUUAAAUCCUUUCAACUUUUUGCCGACUUUCAUUCUAUUUUUAUUUAUUACUUAUUCACAAUUCUUAUUAGACAUUGAAUAAGUAUAAAAUUUAGUAAAAUAAAAAUAAUUUUUAAAAUUUCAAUUUACAUUAAACGCUGCAAUAAUUUAAUUAAUAAUAAGUAGCAUUAACUUGAACCUUU